rnacentral:rRNA from 1 species
UACGUAGGUGGCAAGCGUUGUCCGGAAUUAUUGGGCGUAAAGCGCGCGCAGGCGGUCCUUUAAGUCUGAUGUGAAAGCCCACGGCUCAACCGUGGAGGGUCAUUGGAAACUGGUGAACUUGAGGACGAGAGAGGAACAUGGAACUCCAGGUGUAGUAGUGAAAUGCGUAGAGAUCCGGAAGAACACCGGUGGCGAAGGCGGCCUGCUGGGCAGUAGCUGACACUGAGGCGCGACAGCGUGGGGAGCAAACAGGG